rnacentral:misc_RNA from 1 species
CAAAAAAAAAAAAAAAAAAUCUUAUGCAAUAUCUGUCUUCUAUGUUAAAGAUGUUAUCUUCAAUUGUCUCUCCACAGUAUGCAAGAAAUUCAACCAAGUGGACAACGUUCUUCUAAAAAGAGUUCAGAAAGAAAAAGACGGUAGAUACAUCAACUUAGCGAUUUAAAUCUGAUUCACAACACCUCCAUCUCAAGAUUCUUCUGU